GCCUCCACGUGUCUGCAGACGUGGGAACAUGAGUACAUGUGUCAAAAAAGGAAAAUCAAGCGUUCACUCUCCCUUUUCUUAGGGUUUACCUCUUAUAAAACCCUUGUUUAUUCUUCUUCUUUCCUUUUUUCGCCCUUUGCUUCAGUAAACGAAAACAACCUGCACUCUGUUUUAGUAAACGAAAACAACCUUUCUUCUCCAAACCUUCAACUCUUUCCAGGGCUAGCUCAAGCAAAAGCAAAGCACUUCCCUCCGCUGCGAAGCUCACACAACCACUCACCAUUGAUGGCAAGGAAUACGUUCUUGAACCUCCAUUUGCUGAAGAGAAAGCCAAAAUUUGGCGUUCCCAGGUAUUAAUCCCUUUCUCCCUGGCUGACAAACCUUUAGCAUUCUUAGGUCCACUUCCAGAAAAUCGUCAUCCUGAGAUAACCAGGACAAAUUCAUUUUUCCCCACCAGUCAUCUCUCUGAACCUUUGGUUUCUUCCCAAAAACCUUUCUCCCCCCGUUAUGUCGAAAGGAAUUUUAGGACUGCUCCUCCCAAGAACUGUCCUAAGUUUUGCGCCUGGAUGGAUCGCUUAGAAACAGAGAAAAUCGACCACUGGAAAUGGAUAGGUAUCUACACCCUUCUGCAGAUUUCCCGUUGUGGCCCCCCUUAAUCUUGUGGCAUGUUGUUGGCUGCCCUCCAAUUUUGGGACAGUUCGACCAAUUCUUUUCAUACAAAGUGUGGCAUGAUUACGCCGACACUCUUGGAUAUUGCUGCCAUUACAGGCUUAAAACCGACCGGCGAAGUCUUCGACUGUGAAGUCGUAGCACCAAUCUCUCUAAGGUUUGACGUUGGUGACUCUCCAAGCCGACAUACAAUAAUUUUAUUGAUCAUCAUGCCACAUCUUCAGGCCCUGUGACCACUGAAGAACAUGUGGCCUUUCUGACUCUUUGGCUAUCUCGUUUUGUGUUUUGCUCUAGAUCAAUGCAGAUAGCCAAACAUUUCGCUCUUCUGGCAACUCAGCUACACCAAGAGCGUGAUAUCACUCUGGGCCAAUUAAUACUGGCCUCUCUUUAUGAAUCUCUAUCUGAAGUUGUCUGCCAAAUCAAACUCUUUGACCCUGAGAACUCAAAGAAGAAGAAUGUUUUGGUCCACGGUCCUUUUUGGUUCCUACAACUGUGGCUUAAUGCCACUUUUUCUAAAUACAUAGCGUCUCAUGGGAUGAGAAGGGUUGCUUGUCCCCCAGAAGAACGACACCUUUUUUGGAAGCGACUGAUCCCUUUGACGCCCAUCGACAAAACCUUUCCUAACGUCAAGGUGUUUUGCCUUUUGUUUACCAUCAUGCUGACUCGCGCCGACUUUCACCCUUCUAUGGCUCCUUUCAGCAGUCGAACUGAAGGUCCUGAAUGGCUCACCAGGGCUUUUCCUUCGACUGAAUAUGAGCACAAGAAUGAGACCUUUGUUAUUUGGAGACGUUUUCUGGUCCCCCAAUUUCUGUCGGUUGUAACCUCCGGCACCAACCCUGGCCUAGUUGCUUACCAACCCAACUUGGUAGCCAGACAAUUUGGCCUUUGUCAAUUUAUCCCCAAGUCCCUAUAUUCUUCUCUCGACAUACUCACAAACAUCCUUUGUGAUCAACCCUGGAGUAUGAUCCAAGAAGAUAUUGAGGCCCUUUGGGAAAACCGACCAAACCUCCAUUCCAUCCCCUUUCAACCAGCCUUCUUCUGCACCAAAGAGUUUGAUGAUUGGUGGUAGUCGUAUCUUGCUGCUUAUGUUGGUGCUCCUGAGGCCAAAUUAUCUGAACUGACUCAGGCUCUUGUUUAUUUGCAGGUGAAAUCGACCAAAUGUAAGGCUCUCCAUGCCAAACAAAUUCGAGCUUUUCAGAAUUAUUUCCGAGUUGUGUAUCGACUUGAUAAUCUUCGUCGGGCCAUAUCUGAGGCCGCGUCCGAAUUAAAGGAGAAGGUAACCGACAGGCUCCCAAAACUUAAAAUCCCUGGUUAUUGUAGCGGGGUAUUCGUUACCUUUAGAUUUAUUGAAUAAAUCAAAAGUAAAUCAUACAAUUCGAGUCGCCACCGCACUUCUAUUUAUCCAAAGGAAAGAUUAGAAAGCGAACAAAAACCGAGAAGUUUUAUCAAAUCAAAAACUAAUAAAAAUGUCAGAGAUCUGGGUAAGAGGGUUGGUUAUGCAAUGGGAAGGUUUUAAGCACCCAAAACAUCCUUAGUACUCUAAGGGAGCCCUUUUUGCAAAUGUUGUAUGGUAGGUUGGUAUUUGUGAAAAAUAUUUGAUAACCAAAAACAUGAUUGCGAGAUGAGGAAAGAAUAUACAAAUAUUUUACAAUUUUGUUGUUUGAAUGGAUAAACCAUUGCCUACGUACCAUCACAAAGGUAGGAUCAAAACCUCGUAGUUCGGGGUAAAAUCUCACAAAUAAGUGGUGAAUUGAUUGACAAAAGCCUUAAGGUCUCUUUGUUAUCAACGGGAGAAAAACCAACUAAACCAACAAUCCACACAGUAGGAGCUUCAAGCGAUACUUGAGGAUCCACCCUAUAAUAAGUAUGGAAGACUUAUAGUCCAAUCACUAAGGAUAAGGUGAGGUUUACAUCAACCACUAUGAUAACUCAAACCUAUGGCUAAUGUUUAUGAAAAAUUUUUUUUAACAAAGGUGGUCAUUGGAACCACAAAAAUCACUUGAAGUGAGUUGUAUUUACAAAUUAGAAGUAUUCACAAAAUGAAUUCAAAGUUGAUUUAAGGUUCAUUCAACAUAAGUAUUAAUGAAAAGAGUUUGAAAAAUCAAAGGCAUAUGGCCUAGGUUUCUAAUUUUGAAAACAAUGUCAAUGUUUGCACAAAAUGAGUUUGGAGGGUUAGAGUGGAGAGAAGAAGAGAAGGGUUAGUCCUAAACAUGCAAAGAUGAGAGAAGAGAAUAAAACCAUUGGAGUCCCUUUCUUGAGAUCAUAUAGAUGAUUCAAGUUGCUCAUUUCCUUUGGGCUUAGCAAUUAAUUCAAGCAAUUAAUCAAAUAUUCAAUCAAGCUCCUAGUAUCUUCCAAUUGGACUUGUUUCUCUUAACUUGGAUGCUCAUGACAAUGGUCCUUCUAAUUAGCUCAAGUUUGGAAUCCCUUUGUAGUGCAGCUUUUAUGAGCUCGAUCCAACCAAUCCUUUGCUUGUAGCUUGAUCUUGAUGUAUGAUGUGAGAGCUAGGCUUAGGAAUUAGUAUUGAUAAUCAACUGAUGUUGUUGAAAAUCAAACUUGAAAAGUGAAAAUGAAAAUGAAAAUUUCUUUGGUGAGAGGUUGGGAAAUGAUUUUAGCAGAGGUUUAGGCGCUUUCAAGUUGAGAUUUGAGUGAGGCAAGCAUGCUAUUUAUAGCCACAACUGCAAGGAAUGUGUGAGCAAACUCGUGUGCAUGAAAUUGGAUCCUCCAUGCAUGGGCCUGUACAUGCGCAUGUGAGACCCAAAAGCUAAUGCAAAUGCAAGCUGAAAUGAAAAUGGAAUGGUUUGGACGUGCAGUUUGUAUUACAAUUGCUUGUGUGUGAAGAUUUAACAUGAAGUGCAUAAAUGGUCACAAAAGUUCAUCUCUUCGAAAGUCCCAAUUGGAAAAUUCAAACAUAAGCAUGUGGGUAAUGGUUGGAAAGGUAUUGACAUAAGGAACAAAAGUUAUGUUGAAAAAAAAUCCAUUUGGAGUUUGGAAAAUUGUGAAAACUAGCCAUGAAGUUCAAGGUACAAAACAUGUAUUUGAAAAAUUUGCCAAAAAGGACCAACUUCAAGCCCUUCUAUUUCAAUGAUUCAAGCCUCAAAUGGAAAAACCUCCAACAUCAAAGUUGUAGAUCUUUUCAAGGAAAUAAAUCUGGACUUAAAUUUUGCAUCGUUUGGAUUUUUAAUGAGAAAGUUAUGGGCACUUGAAGUUGGACUUUUUCAAGAUUCAAUGGCUUUGGUCCAAAGUGACCUAUAAUGUUUUGUAUUAUCACAUGUGUUCAUAUUUUAGGAUUAUGAAAUUCUGCUCCAACAUAACUUAAUUAGACACUUCAGAAAUUUCCACAGAUGCGCUCUGGUAUCACCUAAACAAAUCUAAAAACACUGACAGGGAGCUUACGCGUCCUCUGAGACAGUUCGACCUCAAUAUUACGGAUUUUAGUCAAAAUGACCUAUUAAUGUUUGAGAAUGAAUUAUGACCUCCAAGUUUCAAAAUGAUGUUUGAUGAACAUUGAAAGCUGGGUUAACAUGUGUCUUCGAAGAACAUUUUCUCUGGCGGUCAUGCUUCAUUUGACAAACACAUCAAAAGUUAGGUCUCAGUGGAUUUCAAAAUAGUCAGAUGAUUUGACUGAUCAACUUCUCAAAGCCAAACUUCAAAUCUUGAUGAAUGAAUGAUUGAGGAUACUCACAUAGGCUCAUAUAUGUAUAAAAUUAUGAAUUAAAUAACUUCCCUUGAUUGUAUUUGAUCAUAGAUUGAGGUUUCUUCAUGAUGCAUAGUUGAAUUAGGGUUUCCUUGGGAAGCAAUCCUCAAGCCCUUUUGGUUUAUCUUGAUCAAAUUGACAAAUUGAGAUACUUGGGAGACAUAUAUGAUGAUUUAGAGAUUUGGGAACCAUUGUCAUGCUUGCUUUCAUCUUCAUCUAGCCAUUUCUUUGAGUAUAGGGGAAUUCUAGGAGCCUUGGAUCACAUGAUUGCUUAAGCUUCAAAACAAAAGAGGUUAGUGACAUAUUUUUGUGCUUUUGGUUAGUAAACAAAAUAAGAAAAGCAAUAAUAUACAAUUCAAUCAUGCUUGGUGGUCUCAAACCAACUCACACAAGUCCCAACCCGAGGGUUAAGGAGCCAAGAUGCUAUGAUCCUUGAGGCAAAUGCCAUGAGCAAUGAUAUGAUGCCAUGGGGGAUCUUAGGGUCAAAAUUAGGGUCUUACAGUUACGCGAAAGACAAGUAUCUUUACGCCCUUCAUUUUGGAAACAUCAAAUUCCCUCCUUUGCCAUCUAGCCCACUGGCUUUGGCCUUUGGCAAUUCAAUUCCAGAUUGGUAUUAUUGUCCCUUUUCAGACGUGCAAAAUGCUUAUAAGAAAAAGGACGACAGAAUGGUACCGACGAAACAUUAUCUGCCCUACUACUCAGGGCCACUUCAUAUUGAUCCUCAAUAUGUUAGAGUGCUUGAUUCCACACAAAUUGGUAACACUUUUCUGGAAAGCUAACACCUCCUUUUAUUUGGAUUUUGUCGCUUACUUGCUUUUCUAUGUUUCUUUACAGCAAUCCCCAUAGACCAUGUGGAUCAUGUUUCUGCUGAUGAACCCAUCCUUUCGACACAAGAGACUCACGUUCGACUUUGGCUGAUUUUCCGUUUUCUUUUACUUUGGUAUUUAUUUUUAACUGUCAUUUUCACUCUUGCAGGCUGCUCCUGAGAAGUCCUCUGAUGAUGAUGAGCGACCCAUUGCCCAAGUUUUGAAAAAGCCCAGUUCUUCGGUAUGAACCUACCCUAUGAUUCCUCUAAGGAAAACAAUACGUGGUCUGUAACUUCUUACUUAUGUGCAGGGUCAACCACGUUCGACGGAUCCACCUGUCUCUUC
rnacentral:lncRNA from 1 species